rnacentral:rRNA from 1 species
CAAGAGGGAAGUUUUGUAAAAGCAACAGGAAGAAUUGCUCAGAUACCCGUGAGCGUAUAUAACUUGGGUCGUGUUAUAAAUGCUCUGGCUAAACCUAUUGAUGGGAGAGGCGAAAUUGUAGCUUCCGAAUCUCGCUUAAUUGAAUCUCCUGCUCCAAGUAGAAUUUCCAGGCAUUCCGUAUACGAACCUCUUCAAACAGGGCUUAUUGCUAUCGAUUCGAUGAUCCCUAUAGGGCGCGGUCAGCGAGAGUUCAUUAUUGGGGACAGACAGACUGGCAAAACAGUAGUAGCCACAGAUACAAUUCUCAAUCAAAAAGGGCAAGGUGUAAUAUGUGUUUAUGUAGCUAUCGGUCAAAGAGCAUCCUCCGUAGCUCAAGUAGUAACUACUUUCCAUGAGGAGGGGGCCAUGGAAUACACUAUUGUAGUAGCUGAAAUGGCGGAUUCACCUGCUACAUUACAAUACCUCGCUCCUUAUACGGGAGCAGCCCUGGCUGAGUAUUUUAUGUACCGCGAACGGCAUACUUUAAUAAUUUAUGAUGAUCUCUCCAAACAGGCACAAGCUUAUCGCCAAAUGUCCCUUCUAUUAAGUCCCGGCCGUGAGGCUUAUCCAGGGGAUGUUUUUUAUUUGCAUUCAUGCCUUUUAGAAAGAGCCGCGAAAUUAAAUUCUCUUUUAGGCGAAGGAAGUAUGACCGCUUUACCAAUUGUUGAGACUCAAUCUGGAGACAUUUCCGCCUAUGUUCCUACUAAUGUAAUCUCCAUUACAGAUGGACAAAUAUUCUUAUCUGCGGAUCUAUUCCAUGCCGGAAUUGGACCCGCUAUUAAUGUGGGUAUUUCAGUUUCCAGAGUAGGAUCCACGACUCAAAUUAAAGCCAUGAAACAAGUAGCUGGCAAAUCCAAAUUGGAACUAGCUCAAUUCGCAGAGUGACAAGCCUAUUAUUGGGUCUUGGAAGUCUCUAUCUAUGGCUCAAAUUAA